rnacentral:rRNA from 1 species
AUUGAACGCUGGCGGCAUGCUUUACACAUGCAAGUCGAACGGUAGAGGGGCAACCCUUGAGAGUGGCGAACGGGUGAGUAAUGCAUCGGAACGUGCCCAGUAGUGGGGGAUAGCCCGGCGAAAGCCGGAUUAAUACCGCCUGAGACCUGAGGGUGAAAGCGGGGGAUCGCAAGACCUCGCGCGAUUGGAGCGGCCGAUGUCAGAUUAGCUAGUUGGUGGGGUAAAGGCCUACCAAGGCGACGCUCUGUAGCCGGUCUGAGAGGACGACCAGCCCCACUCGGACUGAGACCCGGCCCAGACGCGUACGGGAAGCAGCAGUGGGGAAUUUUGGACAAUGGGCGGCAGCCUGGUCCAGCCAUGCCGCGUGCGGGAAGAAGGCAUUCGGGUUGUAAACCGCUUUUGUCAGGGAAGAAAUCUUCCGGGCUAAUACCCUGGGAGGAUGACGGUACCUGAAGAAUAAGCACCGGCUAACUACGUGCCAGCCGCCGCCGUAACAC